rnacentral:rRNA from 1 species
UACAGAGGUCUCAAGCGUUGUUCGGAUUCAUUGGGCGUAAAGGGUGCGUAGGUGGCGGGGUAAGUCAGGUGUGAAAUCUCGAGGCUCAACCUCGAAACUGCACUUGAUACUGCCUUGCUCGAGUACUGGAGAGGAGAUUGGAAUUUACGGUGUAGCAAGUGAAAUGCGUAGAUAUCGUAAGGAAGACCAGUGGCGAAGGCGAAUCUCUGGACAGUUACUGACACUGAGGCACGAAGGCCAGGGAGCAAACCGGG